rnacentral:rRNA from 1 species
AUUGGAGGAAAGUAGGGGAUCGCAAGACCUUGCGCUGAUUGAGCGGCCGAUAUCAGAUUAGCUAGUUGGUGAGGUAAAAGCUCACCAAGGCGACGAUCUGUAGCGGGUCUGAGAGGAUGAUCCGCCACACUGGAACUGAGACACGGUCCAGACUCCUACGGGAGGCAGCAGUGGGGAAUUUUGGACAAUGGGGGCAACCCUGAUCCAGCCAUGCCGCGUGAGUGAAGAAGGCCUUCGGGUUGUAAAGCUCUUUCAGCCGGGAAGAAAAUGCAUGGGUUAAUACCCUGUGCAGAUGACGGUACCGGAAUAAGAAGCACCGGCUAACUACGUGCCAGCAGCCGCGGUAAUACGUAGGGUGCGAGCGUUAAUCGGAAUUACUGGGCGUAAAGCGUGCGCAGGCGGUUUUGUAAGACAGGCGUGAAAUCCCCGGGCUUAACCUGGGAACUGCGUUUGAAACUACAAAGCUAGA